CAGAGGCGCCCACAUGAGCAGGAGGUGGCCCAGCUCAGCCUGGGGGCUCCUGCCCUCUCUCACAAGGACACCGCACCCCCUGUGUGGGUCCUGGAGUAAAAGGCCGUGCCAUGUGGCCAGCUCGCGGUGGGUGCACAGCCUCGCUCAGAGCCCCAGCCAACCUGCAGCCCUCGAUUAAGAAAUAAUACACAUUGAUCCAUGGAAAACUUGGAAAGAAUGGCCCUUACUCAGGAGGGCAGCAGCAGCCACUCCCGGGAUAAGAGCCGUCUGGCACCUGCAAGUCCCAGCUGGAGAGAAGGAAGAAACCACAUGGAAUCGAUCAAUUAUCUGAUAUACCUGAGUAUUCUGGAAAAUAUUGAAAUUGGCCCUGCAGAGGG